CAGCAGCCGCGGUAAUACGGAGGAUGCGAGCGUUAUCCGGAUUUAUUGGGUUUAAAGGGUGCGUAGGCGGCUUUUUAAGUCAGCGGUGAAAUUUUGCAGCUUAACUGUAACAGUGCCGUUGAUACUGGGGAGCUAGGAUUUGGUUGCUGUGGGUGGAAUGUGUGGUGUAGCGGUGAAAUGCUUAGAGAUCACACAGAAUAUCGAUUGCGAAGGCAGCUCACAAAGCCAAGAUUGACGCUGAGGCACGGAAGUGUGGGGAUCAAACAGGAUUAGAUACCCUGGUAGUCCACACUGUAAACGAUGAUAACUCGCUGUCGGCGAUACACAGUCGGUGGCCAAGCGAAAGCGAUAAGUUAUCCACCUGGGGAGUACGACCGCAAGGUUGAAACUCAAAGGAAUUGACGGGGGCCCGCACAAGCGGAGGAACAUGUGGUUUAAUUCGAUGAUACGCGAGGAACCUUACCCGGGCUCGAACGGUGCAUGAAUGGACAAGAGAUUGUUCAGACCUUAGGGACAUGUAUCGAGGUGCUGCAUGGUUGUCGUCAGCUCGUGCCGUGAGGUGUCGGCUUGAGUGCCAUAACGAGCGCAACCCUUGUCAUUAGUUACCAUCAGGUAGAGCUGGGGACUCUAAUGAGACUGCCACCGUAAGGUGAGAGGAAGGGGGGGAUGACGUCAAAUCAGCACGGCCCUUAUGUCCGGGGCGACACACGUGUUACAAUGGGGGGUACAGAGGGCAGCCAUCCGGCGACGGAGCGCCAAUCUCAAAAACCCUUCUCAGUUCGGAUUGGAGUCUGCAACUCGACUCCAUGAAGUUGGAUUCGCUAGUAAUCGCGCAUCAGCCAUGGCGCGGUGAAUACGUUCCCGGGCCUUGUACACACCGCCCGUCAAGCCAUGGAAGCUUGGGGUGCCUG
rnacentral:rRNA from 1 species